AUUGAACGCUGGCGGCAGGCCUAACACAUGCAAGUCGAGCGGAGCGGCGGACGGGUGAGUAAUUCCUAGGCAUCUGCCUGGCAGUGGGGGCUAACGUCCGGAAACGGGCGCUAAUACCGCAUACUAUCAGUUGAGCCUAGGUCGGAUUAGCUGGUUGUUGGGGUAAAGGCCUACAAAGGCAACGCUCCGUACAUGGACUGUGGGGAUGAUCAGUCACACUGGAACUGAGACACGGUCCAGACCCCUACGCGAGGCAGCGGUGGGAAAGAGGGGAAAAGGGGCGAAGGCCUGAUCCAGACAUGCGGCGUGUGUGAAAAGGGUCUUCGGAUUGUAAAGCGCUUUAAGUUUGGAGACGUUACCAACAGAAUAAGCACCGGCUAACUUCGUGCCAGCAGCCGGGGUAAUAC
rnacentral:rRNA from 1 species